GCUGUAGCUCAGUAGCAGAUCAUCUGCUUUGCAUGCAAAAGGUCAUGGGUUUGAACCCCAGCACAUCUCCA